CGGGUGAGUAAUGUAUGGGGAUCUGCCUGAUGGCGGGGGGUAACUACUGGAAACGGUAGCUAAUACCGCAUAAUGUCUACGGACCAAAGCGGGGGACCUCCGGGCCUCGCGCCAUCAGAUGAACCCAUAUGGGAUUAGCUAGUAGGUGAGGUAACGGCUUACCUAGGCGACGAUCCCUAGCUGGUCUGAGAGGAUGAUCAGCCACACUGGGACUGAGACACGGCCCAG
rnacentral:rRNA from 1 species